UGGGGUGAUAAGUCCGCAGAGUGUCAUAUAUAUGCCGGUGCAAGAAUAAACUCCGUAUCAUAUUCCAAUAGUGCCAAAGUUUAGAAGUUUCUUUCUGAAGGUUGCCAACAAUGUGUUGAUUGGUUUCAAAGGUACGCUUGUUUAUGUUACGUCACUUUCGUUAAUGUGAAAAACAUGGACAACGAGGAGUUCCGGGUAUCAAUUAAACAUUGACAAGGGGGAAAGCUAUUUCAGCUUAGCGAAUUUGUGCGACUAUAUAUGACAGUGAAGGAAACGAUCCGCCAAACUUCAAUCAACAACCUGAGCAGUGGUUAGAUCAAGGCGAAAACUACCCAAAACGACCGAAGGGGCAAAACACAGCCGGAAAGUUGACAUGUAAUGUAAUAUUUACAUUAUUGAAGCGACCGAAUGAUGAGAUAAACAA